GGUUCUCAGUUCCGCUUUAGUCCAGAGAGAAGACACUACGCUUCGGCGUUCAGUUCCAGAACAUCUGUGGUUCCCUGGGCGGGGGACGAGCUCUGCAGACGAGGUCACUGCAGCAGUGGCAGGAAUCUUGCACUCCUAGUAGAGAAGGUGUCGACAGAGCUACUGAGGGAAAGAAGGUUUUUUUUUGUUUUGUUUUGUUUUGUUUUGUUUUGUUUUGUUUCCAGUCUGGCCUGGGCCAGGUAGGAAGCCAUAGGCCUGGCAGCACUAUUGGAGUUUCACCUGCUUCUCCCCGGAAGACCGGCAGGAGGGGAGGGCUGCGCCCAAACCUGCAAGCUAGGACCUGACCUGUAUAAGAACAGGGGAAGGGAAUUCUUUGCUUCCACCAUACACAGACCUAAGGCUUCUGGGGAGAAGCAUAACGCUUCCCUUCUGGGAGCCUCAGUUUCCUCAUCUGCAAAAAAGGGGAUACCACUGAUACCUUUUAUUUGGGGGGGUGUAUAUUGAGUGAGACCACUUGUGCAACCUCUUGGUCUAAUAAUAAAGUUCAACACUUUCUGGUCUGGGAAGAUGGGAAGCCAGUUCCCAGUAGUAAAAUUGAGUUUCUCUGGAAACUUAGGGUUUUCAGAAUUGGUGAUACAGUGCUGGGGUUGGAGGGAUUGGAGGACUAAGGUUUCAGAAUCAGCAGAAACAUUGCAAAAGAGUUUCUAAGCACAUUUUCCUUCCUCUCCCACCCUUGAAAGAUAACUAGGAGGAAGUAAAGUUAGGUUAGGGAUAGAGAGGAAUUUCAGCAGGAGGAGGAAGGGUCUAGCAGCUCUCAUCUGCCUAGGGGCAGGAUCUAAUCUCUUAGGUGUGCGAGGGCUGAUGGUGUAAUUUAUCAAGUCAGGCUGUUAAGGAGCUAGGAUGCCUCUUAAAUACAGGGUCUGCUACAGGUGCCUGGGCCACUUGUGCUGAGAGCCAGAAAGAAGGGAUGGUUAAGUGCAUGGAGCCUGGGGAAGGUUUACACUGAUCUCAGUCCCUCUUUGCCUGAGACAAGCAAACCCCAAAUUCAGGAACAUCUCCAUCCUUCAGCCUCCAGAAACCCGUUACUCCUCAGGUUGCCAGAGGGAGUCAUAACUUCAUAAAAAUGUUGGCUUUUCAUUUCACCUUUUUUUCCCCUCUAGUUUGUUGUAAUAGGUGGCAAAUCUUUGCCUCUCAUAAUUCUGCCCACUGGAAGAACAUUCUCUACCUGUCCAGCUUGCCUCAAGAAGGAUAAUGAAGUGUUCAGAGUAAAUGUUCCUGGAGAACAAUUUCUUUUUCUGUCUCUCACUUGCUAUCAGGAUAGAAGCAUCAAGUGUAAUGAAGAUCAGUUUCUGUGUUAAGCUGGAAAAACCCAUUUAAAAAACAGCAAUCAUUUCUGUUGUAACAACAAAACUUUGAUUGGCAGUUCCAGCUGCUGUGUGCCCCAUCUGAUUCCCAAGUCUCAUUCUCUCUCAGAAUUCAGGUGUCAGCAAACCCAUUCUUCCCCAUACCCCAGGUAACUGCGAGAAAGUGCAGGAAAUUUCACACAGAGGAUACGACACAUUUCCUAUGAGUGUCAGGUAUGUUUUCCAGGUAAUCUGGCUAUUCACAUCCAGCAACUUCCUGUAAUGCUCCUUCCUAGACCUACCUUGUAAUAUACCACUUUGUGCGAUAUAAGUGCUCAUCAAGUAAUUGUUCUAUACUGUAGAUCUUCAAACAGUUUCACCAAUCCCUUCAUAUGGGAAUUUAGAAAGAGAUGUGUAAAGUAGACCAGCAGAUAAUCUUUCAGAAUGCAGGUCACAAAUGCUAAGUGAGCUAUCCUAUAAAACUCUUCAGUUAAACUUCCCCCAAAUAGAGGAAGACGGAGUAGGAUUGAAAUAACAUCUGUUUAUGCUUCACACAGAAUAAAGUGAUGAUGGACUGA